AUUGAACGCUGGCGGCAUGCUUUACACAUGCAAGUCGAACGGCAGCGCGGGCUUCGGCCUGGCGGCGAGUGGCGAACGGGUGAGUAAUACAUCGGAACGUGCCCGGUAGUGGGGGAUAGCUCGGCGAAAGCCGGAUUAAUACCGCAUACGACCUGAGGGUGAAAGCGGGGGAUCUUCGGACCUCGCGCUAUUGGAGCGGCCGAUGGCAGAUUAGCUAGUUGGUGGGGUAAAGGCCUACCAAGGCGACGAUCUGUAGCUGGUCUGAGAGGACGACCAGCCACACUGGGACUGAGACACGGCCCAGACUCCUACGGGAGGCAGCAGUGGGGAAUUUUGGACAAUGGGCGAAAGCCUGAUCCAGCAAUGCCGCGUGUGUGAUGAAGGCCUUCGGGUUGUAAAGCACUUUUGGCGGGAACGAAAAGGACUGUGCCAAUACCACGGUUCGAUGACGGUACCCGCAGAAUAAGCACCGGCUAACUACGUGC
rnacentral:rRNA from 1 species